AUAGGCGUAGUUUAAUUAAAACAAUAAAUUGUGGUUUUGUAACUAAGAGUUAAAUUCUCUUCACCUAUC
rnacentral:tRNA from 1 species